rnacentral:rRNA from 1 species
UACGUAGGGUGCAAGCGUUGUCCGGAAUUAUUGGGCGUAAAGAGCGCGCAGGCGGUCGAUCAAGUCGAGUGUGAAAGCCCCCGGCUCAACUGGGGAGGGUCAUUCGAUACUGAUCGACUCGAAGGCAGGAGAGGGUAGUGGAAUUCCCGGUGUAGCGGUGAAAUGCGUAGAGAUCGGGAGGAACACCAGAGGCGAAAGCGGCGACCUGGACAGGUACUGACACUCAACUACGAAAGCGUGGGGAGCAAACAGG